rnacentral:hammerhead_ribozyme from 1 species
AUCCAGCUGACGAGUCCCAAAUAGGAUGCAACGCGCGUCCUAUAU